GUCCCAUCAGUUAAAAAAAAAAAAAAAAAAAGGAUCAGAUUGUUGGUUCCCACGUGCUCCCCACCUAACCCCACUACCCAUCACACAAUCCACUCCCUCUUUUCUCUCCUUGGCCGGUCACUCUCACUCUUGUUCUCCUUUUCUUUUUCUCUUUCAGUCAACACAACACACAAUACACACACUCCUCUCCCUCACCCUCCCACCGGUACAUUCCUCAUCAUCACCUCUACCAUUUUUUCCGGCAAAAUCACUAGAAAAUCCUCAAGAACAUCACACCUUCACAUAAGUUAAUUGAGAGUAGGCAACGGUCUUUUGAGACAGCUUUUUGGUGGCUAAUAGUAGUUAGACUAACUACUAAUGGAGGCUGAACUUUGGUAAUGGGUAUAUUAGAUGAUGUACAUCUUAGAAUAGGCUUGACUCAUUCUUUUGUAUAUUAUAGUGGCUGUGAUGUUAUUUCCCACUGAUGAGACAAGCUGAUGAUAUGUAAUUAAUUAUUCAAACCUCUAUUCUUUUGUGGCCAAUGGUCUUUGUAAUUAUUGCUUAGAGCUCUAACUUACUCUGAGAGUAUAUUCAAUGGAAUUAUUAUGAUAA